UACGUAGGUGACCAGCGUUGUCCGGAUUUACUGGGCGUAAAGAGCGCGCAGGCGGUCGUUCAAGUCGAGUGUGAAAGCCCCCGGCUCAACUGGGGAGGGUCACUCGAUACUGAUCGACUGGAAGGCAGGAGAGGGAAGCGGAAUUCCCGGUGUAGUGGUGAAAUGCGUAGAUAUCGGGAGGAACACCAGUGGCGAAGGCGACUACCUGGCCUGUUUCUUGACGCUGAGGCGCGAAAGCUAGGGGAGCAAACGGG
rnacentral:rRNA from 1 species